UCAGACGUGGUGUAGUGGCAACAUGGCCUAUUCUUCGUUCAACGAAAACAAGGCAGUCCCGGGUUCGAAUCCCGGUGUUUGAC